rnacentral:tRNA from 1 species
GGCCGGCUGGCGCAAUGGUAGCGCAUCAGACUUCUAUCUUCUCAUCCAUGAGUUGUGGUUAUCUGGGGGUUGUGGGUUCGAGCCCCACGUUGGUCA